GGCAGGGCGCGAUGCUAUACAUGCAGUCGAACGCACUCUCGUUAGAUUGAAGAAGCUUGCUUCUGAUUGAUAACAUUUGAGUGAGUGGCGGACGGGUGAGUAACACGUGGGUAACCUGCCCUAAAGUGGGGGAUAACAUUUGGAAACAGAUGCUAAUACCGCAUAAAACCUAGCACCGCAUGGUGCAAGGUUGAAAGAUGGUUUCGGCUAUCACUUUAGGAUGGACCCGCGGUGCAUUAGUUAGUUGGUGAGGUAAAGGCUCACCAAGACCGUGAUGCAUAGCCGACCUGAGAGGGUAAUCGGCCACACUGGGACUGAGACACGGCCCAGACUCCUACGGGAGGCAGCAGUAGGGAAUCUUCCACAAUGGACGAAAGUCUGAUGGAGCAACGCCGCGUGAGUGAAGAAGGUUUUCGGAUCGUAAAACUCUGUUGUUGGAGAAGAACGUAUUUGAUAGUAACUGAUCAGGUAGUGACGGUAUCCAACCAGAAAGCCACGGCUAACUACGUGCCAGCAGCCGCGGUAAUACGUAGGUGGCAAGCGUUGUCCGGAUUUAUUGGGCGUAAAGCGAGCGCAGGCGGUUUCUUAAGUCUGAUGUGAAAGCCUUCGGCUCAACCGAAGAAGUGCAUCGGAAACUGGGAAACUUGAGUGCAGAAGAGGACAGUGGAACUCCAUGUGUAGCGGUGAAAUGCGUAGAUAUAUGGAAGAACACCAGUGGCGAAGGCGGCUGUCUGGUCUGUAACUGACGCUGAGGCUCGAAAGCAUGGGUAGCAAACAGGAUUAGAUACUCUGGUAGUCCAUGCCGUAAACGAUGAGUGCUAGGUGUUGGAGGGUUUCCGCUCUUCAGUGCUCGCAGCUAACGCAUUAAGCACUCUGCCUGGGGAGUACGACUGCAAGGUUGAAACUCAAAGGAAUUGACGGGGGCUCGCACAAGCGGUGGGAGCAUGUGGUUUAAUUCGGAAGCAACGCGAAGAACCUUACCAGGUCUUGACAUCCUUUGACUACUCUAGAGAUAGAGCUUUCCCUUCGGGGACAAAGUGACAGUUGGUGCAUGUGUCGUCAGCUCGUGUCGUGAGAUGUGGUAAGUCUGCACGAGCGCAUCCUAUUACUAGUUGCCAGCAUAGAUGGCACCUUAUGGAAACUGCCGGGUGAACAAACCGAAGGAAAGGGGUGUGGGGCAC
rnacentral:rRNA from 2 species